CCUACGGGUGGCAGCAGUGGGGAAUAUUGCACAAUGGGGGAAACCCUGAUGCAGCGACGCCGCGUGAGUGAAGAAGGAACUCGUUAUGUAAAGCUUUAUUAGCAGGGGAGAAAAUGAUGGUACCUGAGUAAGAAGCCCUGGCUAAAUACGUGCCAGCAGCCGCGGUAACACGUAGGGGGCCAGCGUAAUCCGGAUUUACUGGGUGUAAAGGGAGCGUAGGCGGCAGUGCAAGUCUGGAGUGAAAGUCGGGGGCUCAACCCCCGGACUGCUGUUGAAACUGUAAGGCUGGAGUGCAGGAGAGGUAAGUGGAAUUCGUGGUGUAGCGGUGAAAUGCUUAGAUAUCAGGAGGAACACCAGUGGCGAAGGCGGCUUACUGGACUGUAACUGACGUUGAGGCUCGAAAGCGUGGGGAUCAAACAGGAUUAGAUACCCCAGUAGUC
rnacentral:rRNA from 1 species